AACUGGUCUGAGUUCAGUGGUGUUUACAACUAAUUGAUCACAACCACUUACAGAUUUAUUUGUUCCUUUUCUAUUCCCACUGUUUCAUUCUACUAGCCUUUG
ensembl:misc_RNA Y_RNA Y RNA